rnacentral:rRNA from 1 species
GACGAGGGAUCCUAGCGUUGUUCGGAAUCAUUGGGCGUAAAGCGUGUGUAGGCUGCUUUGUAAGUCAGGUGUGAAAUCCCCGGGCUCAACCCGGGAAGUGCAUUUGAUACUGCGAAGCUUGAGUAUGGAAGAGGGUAGUAGAAUUCCUGGUGUAGUGGUGAAAUACGUAGAUAUCAGGAGGAAUACCGGUGGCGAAGGCGGCUACCUGGUCCUAUACUGACGCUGAAACACGAAAGCGUGGGGAUCAAACAGG